UUCCACAAUGAAGGCAUUUCAACUCGUAAUAAUUCUGAAUUCACCUCCAUUGAGAUGUAUGAAGCAUACUCUGACUAUGAAAGCAUGAUGAAUAUGGCAGAAGAGAUUGUGACACGAUGUGCCCUUGCAGUUAAUGGGAAAUUUAGAAUUGAUUACCAGGGUGUGGAGAUCUGCUUGGAAAGACCUUGGAGGAGGGAAACAAUGCAUAAUCUUC